UUUCUUUCUCAUUAUGUUUCCUUUUCUCUUCCAAUCACAAUUCUGGAACCAGAUAAGAGAAGUUUGGAAACUCUCCACUUUCUCCCGGCUUCUCCUUCUUCAUCCACCAUCUCCAGCGCCACCGGCGAAGUGGGAGCUCAUCACCUCCAUGCGAUCCCCAGUCCUCAGUCAUGCUCCCAUCUCGGUCUCCUCGUAUGUUGCUCUACCUUUGCCGUUCUUGUUUGCGUCUUGUUGUGAAUGUUUGUGUGCCGCUGGAUUCUUUUUCGUCCUCUCUCGUCUGUUUGUUGCUAGUGUUUGUGUGUGAAGUGGGAGAUCUUUUGCUGUUGAAGGCCGCCGGAUUCUUCCACAUCUUCCCCUGUUCAUGCUGUCUUUAUUCUGGUUAAGGAGUGAGAGCACGAGGAGAGAGGGAGCGUUUGGUUUUUGCUUUAACAUUUCCUCUUCAUUUCUUGCUUGUUUCUCUAAUUCUUGCCGUCGGUGUGCAUCCUGGAUCUUCACCAUAGAUUCUUGUCUAUGCCGUCAACUUGAAGUGCUGAGCUACAUGAAUUUGUUCUCCUCUACUUUCUUGUUUGCUGGUCGUGCAAGCUCGUGUUGUGCAUGUGUUCUCAGCUUUCAAUUUCCUUGUUCUUCUCAGCAUGGGUGUCAAGUAUGUGUGUGUGAUAUGUUAGCUGAUGUUGUGCCUUCCGCUAAUCCUUGAUGGGCAGUAAUAUUCAGAUGAGAUGAAAAGCUGAAAUCAAACUUCUUUAAAGUAAAUUUUUUAUAUCAGGUACUCUACAUAAGCUAUAGUUAGGGUCCUCAUCCUUAUGAUUUAUACUUUGAUAUUUACUAAUCUGAAGAAAAUUCUUUGCUGCUACUACUGUUUUGUAAAAUAUUAAAUCUUUUGUUCGUAUGGUUUGUAUUGAGGAUGGCUUAAUUUAUUAUCAAAGGUCUUCAUGGUUUAUAAAUUAGAGUUUUCUUGAGUAAAGACUUUUAGGAUAUGGGUAUUAUCUCUAUAUUAUGUGCCAAACAUGUUCUAUUUUUGGGGUGUGACAUAGAUUUAGAUUUUUCAAAUCAAAGUUCAUAUAAUCAUUAAUUUAUAUGCCAAUCUAAAUUGUCUAUUUUUUAUACAAUCAAAUUCAAUACACGCGUACACUAAGAUGUCAAUGGUGGGAUCAAGUCCAAGAUCUUGCAUGUCCAAGUGAGAGAGAUGGCAAUGUCACUUAAACAACUCAUCUAAAUUAAAAUUUCUAUUUAUGACAUGUGGUUAGGAUAAGAUGGGUGUGUGCAUACAUGGCAAUUAUUUACUUCAAAUUAUUCUUUAGAUAUAGACCAAAUAAAAAUAGACAUCACAGUUUAGUCAACAUUUUUUUAGUAGACAAUGAUAAAUUAAUGUAUAAGUUUAUAAAUGUCUAUUGGAUCAUGAUUUAGUUUUUCUUAAUUUUAGCCUAAAAAGAUAAUUUAAUUUACAUAUAAGACCAUCGCUCAAGUUUGACUGAAGAUUUUUAUAUUAAGAAAUUAUUAAAUAGAUUAUUCUGGGAAAAUGAACCUCUUUAAAUACUAAGACAAGCAGACAUAUAUUAUAUUGUUGAAAAAACAAGUCAAUUAUCUUCCAUUAAUAUGUAACGUAACACAUUAUAUAUGGAGUAUAGUUGGCCCACGUAAAAUAUUAAUUCUGGUUCUUUUUUUUUUUGUUGCUUAGAAAGGUUGUGAGAAAUUCUAUAUAUGUAUAUUAACAUGUAGGUUGGCGUGUUUUUGUUUACCAUUGUGAAUUUAGAACCUGAUGUUAUAAAACUUCUAUCCCUAAUACCUUUGCAAUAUUUGAAGUAACACUUGAGACUAGACAGAGUUUUUUUUUUUAAUUUUCGUGUAUUGUAUAGGGAACAGUUGAGUUAUAUUAUUCAUUUAGCAUUAUAACAUGUGAUUCACCGAAAAUCAUCAGGACUUCAUCGUCAGUGCAAGCUGUUUCCAUUUUUUUUAAUUAAUUUUCGUGUAUUGUAUCGGGAACAGUUGAGUUAUAUUAUUCAUUUAGCAUUAUAACAUGUGAUUCACCGAAAAACAUCAGGACUUUAUCAUCAGUGCAAGCUGUUUCCAUUUUUUUUUUAAUAGAAGAGGAAUUAAUGUAUUGUUUAUAGUGUCAAGGAGAGCAAGUUACUGAUACAGCUAUUUUGCAUAAUUAAUGAACUUGCAUGACAGAUAAAUAACGGUAUUAAAAUAAAAGCAAUCUUGAAGACAAGAACAAAUGCCAAGGAUAAACCAUGCUUAAAGAUUUAUAAUAUAAUUCAUAAUAUUAAUACCUUAAAAGUUAAAAAUAAUUUGGUCAAAUAUAUUAAUUUUAAUUUUAGUGCCUGUUUUCUGGCGAAUAAUAUAAGUGUACUGUUUUUAUUCUAAGUUCACCCACACACUUGGACAUUUUUAUAGUAUCUUUUCAUUUUUCAAACAUUCUUGAGUUAUGAGUUUGCUUUUAUCCAAUUCACCUAAAUUUGUUUAAAAAAAUUAAAAUUAGAAAACAUAUCCUUAGAAUAUGGAGGAGUUUCUAUUCUAGUCUUGCGUGUUCAAACUCUCAUACCUUCAUAUUUAGCAUUCCUAUUAUUAAAAAAACAAUCCUAAAUUCAGCUAUUUGACUAUUGUUCAACCUCAAAUUCCACGACACAUCUGUAUGGAUCAACCUAACUUCCUAAACCAUCAUUCUUAGAAAUCAUUUAUCAAAACUGAUUCUCCUUUUCGUCUUUCUAUCUGUCUCCAACUAAAUUUUUCCCAGGAAAAAAAAAAAAGAAGUCCAAGGUUUCGUUCAUAUACAGUUUGCACCAUCAAAUAUUACGAUCAUAAGAUAUUGAUCCCCAUAUAAUGUUGCAACUACUGUAAGGCAUGUGGUUGUCACAACAGGUUCUGAUAACAAACCUUCCACAACAUGGAUCUAUAGCAUUCAUAUUAAUGUUACCUCCACGUUGUUGUUAUGUUGCUGCGAAGAAGCAAUUUGAAUCCUUCGUUUCUUCUUUUCAUUUCAUCUAAAAUACCGUGACUGUAUCAACAUAAAGAAAGGAAAAGAAUUGUGUUCAUCAUCCAUGUCUUGUAGUUCCAUUGUUGUUUUUCUGUGUGUGUUUCUAACGUUUGGCACGAGUAUUGCUGUGGAUGGGAAUUUCGGAGAAUAUUUUGCCACUCUCUUUGGAGAAAACAGAGCCAGAAUCGAAGAUGAUGGAAAAAGCUUAUUCCUAACGUUGGAUCAAUAUUCUGGGUCCGGCGUUAUUUCCAAGAGUGAGUAUUUGUUUGGAAGAUUUGACAUGCAAAUCAAACUCAUUCCAGGAAACUCUGCAGGCACAGUCACUGCUUUUUAUUUAAGCUCGGAGGGACCCCACCACGACGAGAUAGACAUAGAGUUCUUAGGAAACCUGUCGGGAGAUCCUUAUCUGAUGUCCACCAACAUUUUUGCCUACGGCGAAGGAGGUCGAGAAAUGCAAUUCUAUCUUUGGUUUGAUCCCACUGAGGACUUCCACACCUAUUCUAUUGAUUGGAACUCUCAACGUAUAAUAAUAUUAGUGGAUAACAUUCCCAUAAGAGUGAUGCGAAACAGGCAUGAGAUCGGUGUGCGUUUCCCAACGAGGCAACCCAUGAGGGUUUUCACAACGCUUUGGAAUGGAGACUCUUGGGCUACCAGGUGGGGGCAGGUGAAGAUCGACAUGUCCAAUGCUCCCUUCAUUGCUUCUUUCCGAAACUUCACGGCCCGCGCCUGCACCGUGAGCCCGGAGCCAUCGUGCCGGGGAUUUGGUGUUGCCCGCCAGACCAAAGACAUGGAUCCAGAGAGCAAGAUGAAGAUGGAACAAGUGCAGGAAAAGUGGGUGGUGUAUGACUAUUGUCAUGACUUCAGGCGUUACUCUCAUGGACUUCCAUGGGAAUGCCGCAAAGCCAAUCAAAUAUCUCAAUAGAGACAGGUUAUUGCAACUAGUUGUAACUAGUUACUGCCGUACUUUAUCCUAAGAGAAUAUGAAUCAACUUAUAUUUCACUGACACACUUUGUAAUGGGAUCCACACACACGCACACAGAGACACGACACAAGCAGGUUUAUCUCCAGAUGAUGAUGAAGGUAUACUUGGCAUGCUUGUCCAAUUGCAGAAGGACGGCUCUGAAGGAACUGGCAGGGUACAGGAAGAGCUACUCAGAAGUGUUACAAUGGAAACCAUUGAUGGCCUUUGAGAUGCGUUUUCUUGAAUACACAGUAAACCUAUUUGGAUGCAUCUCAUCAUUUCAUUUCUUGACGAAGAACCACCUCCUUCAAUCAAGUUGGAUCUACAAAAUUUGACACUA